AUUGAACGCUGGCGGCAGGCCUAACACAUGCAAGUCGAACGGUAACAGGAAGCAGCUUGCUGCUUCGCUGACGAGUGGCGGACGGGUGAGUAAUGUCUGGGAAGCUGCCUGAUGGAGGGGGAUAACUACUGGAAACGGUAGCUAAUACCGCAUAAUGUCGCAAGACCAAAGAGGGGGACCUUCGGGCCUCUUGCCAUCGGAUGUGCCCAGAUGGGAUAGCUUGUUGGUGGGGUAACGGCUCACCAAGGCGACGAUCCCUAGCUGGUCUGAGAGGAUGACCAGCCACACUGGACUGAGACACGGUCCAGACUCCUACGGGAGGCAGCAGUGGGGAAUAUUGCACAAUGGGCGCAAGCCUGAUGCAGCCAUGCCGCGUGUAUGAAGAAGGCCUUCGGGUUGUAAGGUACUUUCAGCGGGGAGGAAGGGAGUAAAGUUAAUACCUUUGCUCAUUGACGUUACCCGCAGAAGAAGCACCGGCUAACUCCGUG
rnacentral:rRNA from 1 species